rnacentral:ncRNA from 1 species
GAACGCCGUGUGAUAGGAAACUGUCAUGCACGGUGUGGGACGGGGGCUGCGACAAGAAGCGACUUCUUCCGUGAA